AUGAAGCUCAGGAGGGGGCUGAGUUUUUGUAGAAGCUGUAACCAGUGUGACAGCUCCGGCUGGAUCAAGAAAUUUGGAAAACCAACUAAGCUCAUUGUCGUUCCCUCUGAUAGAAGACUUCCUGCAGACGUUUCCCCCAAGCCCACCAUUUUUCUUCCUUCAAUUGCUGAAAUAAACCUCCAUAAUGCUGGAACAUAUCUUUGUCUUCUUGAGAAUUUUUUCCCAGAUGUUAUAAGGGUAUAUUGGAAAGAAAAGAAUGGCAAUAGAAUUCUGGAAUCCCAGCAGGGAAAUAUCAUGAAGACUAAUGACACAUACAUGAAAUUCAGCUGGCUGACCGUGACAGGAAGUUCAAUAAAUGAAGAGCACAUGUGUAUCGUACAACACGAGAAGAAUAGAGGAGAGGUUGACCAAGAGAUUCUCUUUCCUUCAGUGAUCAAAGUUCUCCUCUCAAUUGUCGCUACUAUUGAUUCUACAAAGGCUCUUCUGAAAGAUAAAAGCAUUGUCACUGCUAUUGAUUCUACAAAAUCUUCCCCAAAAGAGGAAAGUGAGGUCACUGCUAUUAAUUCUACAAAAGCUUGUCUGAAAGAUGAAAGCAACACCCUGCAGCUGCAGCUCACCAGCACCUCUGCUUGUUAUGCUUACCUCCUCCUCCUCCUCAUGAGUGCCGUCUACUUUGCCAUCAUCGCCUUCUGUCUGUUUAGGAGAACAGUAGUCUGUGGCAAUGGAAAGAGUUCAUAACAGAUGGUGGAAACAAGAAGGCAACUUUUCUCCAUUGUUUUUUGUCCCUAAAAGUGUCUCAUAAAGAUCUACCUUGGCUUUCUCUCUGAGUGUGGGUUAUUUCAUUUCACGUGUGUAUUUUUCUAUGAUGUCGUUGUUGCAUAAUGGUUUUGUAAACCAUUGGGCAAACAGAAAAUUAUAGUCUGUAGCAACAAUGACUUCUGCCAUUACUCAGGGUCAGGGCCAAGGGGUAAUCCCUUAGCACCACUGUCUCCGUGAUCUCCAUCAGCUCCUCCAGCAACCCAAAUAAUCAUGCCUUCUGAGUAUAGACAGGAUGCAGCUUCUAGUCACGUCUCUUAGGGCCAUUUAACCAGAUGACCACCUUGAAGCCUUCCAUUUUAC